rnacentral:rRNA from 1 species
AACUAAUACUAGCCCUACUAAAAAUUAAUAAAACUAAAAUUCCUAAAUAAACUAAAACAUUUACACUAUAAAGUAUAGGAGAUAGAAAUAUGACCUAGGAGCUAUAGAGAAAGUACCGCAAGGGAACGAUGAAAGACAAAAUUAAUAGUAAUAAAUAGCAAAGAUUAAACCUUGUACCUUUUGCAUCAUGGAUUAACUAGAAACCAUUUGACAAAGAGCCCUUCAGCCAAAACCCCCGAAACCAGACGAGCUACUCACGAACAAUAAUAGAAUAAACUCGUCUAUGUAGCAAAAUAGUGAGAAGAUUUGUGAGUAGAGGUGAAAAGCCAAUCGAGCCUG